rnacentral:rRNA from 1 species
UUGCCAGACUCCUACGGGAGGCAGCAGUGAGGAAUAUUGGUCAAUGGCCGGAAGGCUGAACCAGCCAAGCCGCGUGAGGGAGGAAGGCGCAGAGCGUCGCAGACCUCUUUUGCCGGGGGACAAAAGGCCGGACUCGUCCGGUCCUGAGGGUACCCGGAGAAAAAGCAUCGGCUAACUACGUGCCAGCAGCCGCGGUAAUACGUAGGGAGCGAGCGUUGUCCGGAAUUACUGGGUGUAAAGGGAGCGUAGGCGGGACGGCAAGUCAGAUGUGAAAACUGAGGGCUCAACUUUCAGACUGCAUUUGAAACUGCUGUUCUUGAGUGAAGUAGAGGUAAGCGGAAUUCCUAGUGUAGCGGUGAAAUGCGUAGAUAUUAGGAGGAACAUCGGUGGCGAAGGCGGCUUACUGGGCUUUUACUGACGCUGAGGCUCGAAAGCGUGGGGAGCAAACAGGAUUAGAUACCCGAGUAGG